rnacentral:rRNA from 1 species
UACAGAGGUCCCAAGCGUUGUUCGGAUUCAUUGGGCGUAAAGGGUGCGUAGGCGGCGCGGUAAGUCGGGUGUGAAAUCUCGGAGCUUAACUCCGAAACUGCAUUCGAUACUGCCGUGCUUGAGGACUGGAGAGGAGACUGGAAUUUACGGUGUAGCGGUGAAAUGCGUAGAUAUCGUAAGGAAGACCAGUGCCGAAGGCGGGUCUCUGGACAGUUCCUGACGCUGAGGCACGAAGGCCAGGGGAGCAAACGGG